UCUUCCCCUCUCCUCCCGAUGCGGCGCUGCCCCCAUCUCUUGCUCCUCCGCCGCCGCCGCCCCUGCUUCCCCGAUUCACGCAUCUCACCCUCCCUCCUGCACUAGCAUCCGCCGCCGCCAGUGCGUUGGCUGCCUCCCUCCCCCAUCGCCGGCCACCUCUCGCCCCCAUAACCGGUCGCCGCCUCGCCGACGACCCCGCCGCCGGGCAGGAGGAAUGCUUCCACGCCUUCAACCUCCGCAUCCACGACGUCGUCCUACAAGGUCGGCCCCCCAUCCUCCCCACUGCCCGACGAUGCCUCCCCUUCCUCCUGUGUCGCCUCCCUCGACCGUGUAGGCACGUCGACAUAACCUGGACGCCGUCACUGCAUUGAUCAUGUAGAUCAGGGUGCCUGCGACGUGACACAGCCGUUUUCUUCGGCCGAGCACUGAAAAGGGGCUGACGGCUGCAUCGCCAUGCCAUUUGUAGCUCAAGAUUUGUAAGCCGCACAAGGUCAUCUCUGCCGCUUCACUUCUGGGUUGAAGGUCAAGGUCGGCGACCUGUAUGUCCACAAGUUGUCCCAUGGCUGUUCACUGUGGGAUGUGAUCGAGAGGUGAGGCCUCUUUGCCUGUUGAACAGGUGCAGGGCCUCCCGCUUAUUCCUACUUUCUUGCAGUCAAAGGACGGGGUUCGGUGAAACCAGAGCAAACUAAGGUCUAUGGUUAUCUCCCGAAAAAAGGGUGUAUGGUUAUUUUAAUUCCCUGUUCUUUCUUUUAGAAAAGUCACUGUUAUUCGUAGCCAUAUGGUACAUGCAUGUGUGUCAAGUUUCAUUUGUAAUAAAUUACAUUAGCUGAAUUUAAACAGAUUAAGUUUCCUAAUGCAGGGCAAAAGCAUAGUGUAUUCAGUUUGAUAUUGUUCCCGUAUUUAUUUGUUCUGGGCAUAGCUAAACUCUCAAAUUGUAAAAUCAAUUUGUCCAGUUUACAUAUUUUCAAUCAGAAGUCAUCUUGUUUUGUUCAUAAAUUGUGUCAUUUAUAGUUUAACUUAACUCGUCAUGUAAUUAUCUGUUUCUACCUAUUGGAGGGCAUAGCACAUAACCUGUGGGCCAAUGGGCUGAGGUUUUCAAAUGUUAUUUUACCCCUCGUGUCUAUUAUAGGCUAGAUACAUUUCUGCCAUCUUAUUAAGUACUCAGAUUUCUAUUUAAUGAACUCAGAUUUAAAGACAAUAGUCCUUUCCCAAUAAUAAAAGAUGUAUUUUAUGAGGUAGUACAGUCGUAGACUUUUCUUAUGUUCUGAUUUGUCAUUCCACCUCACUGAAAGAGCUUGUAAAUUUGUAAUUGGUUCAACAAAUAGCAUACACUUUCUUUCGGUUUGAAUAGUCUGAACUUUGUAGCUCAGCGGCUACUUUGCGGGUGUAUUUAAAUCUUUUGGCCACACUAGGAAAGGGCAGACUAUUUUAGGUGAUAAGUCGGUUGGUUAAUGUUGUAGUCCCUUUUUUAUUGGAAUGUUUUAUGUUUCUGUACAUUAGUUUUGGUAGAAAAUCCACAUCUACUGUGGCAUCUCUUCCGUUUUUGGUGUUCUCCUGAAAGAGCGAAGGGGCAAAGGGUUUCUUCAGUAUUGCACAAGACUUUGAUCUAUCUGGUUGGUUCUGCUUCAGCUGGGGUUAUUGGCUUAUUGCCGAUGUUUCCCUCUGCUCUAUGGAGGCAGCGGCAUAUGUAGGAUCCUGAAUUGGGGUGUAAAGAGUAAAAGAAAAAAAACUCCACUAGACACGCACAUUUUUCUUUUGAGGGGUACCCAGCCAUGUGCGUAUGCUCGAGCUAUAGAGAAAAAAAUUGUUGCUCACUCUGGAACCCAUUGAUCAAUCGGGGGAAUUGCAGUUCUGGUCUGAUGGCCUUUUACGUGCUAGGCCAGCUGCUUAGUUAAUGGCUUGAGGGGGAAAUAUAAAGGGUGUUAAAUGAUAGGAGGUGGGCAGGGCUGCUUUGCUACAAGGCACUAAAUUUUCAGAUUAUUAUAGCUAGCAAACUACACAUAUAUGUAUAAACCUUGGUCUGCAAUUGGUAGUAGUACUUGUUUGUUACUGAACUUUGAAAUUGGUUUGCGUAAAUUUGGAAUAUGUCUUGACAUAUUUUACUCGGCCGCGGUUCAGCUGUUAGGUUUGCUUCAAAAUUUUACUUUCUGUGAGCAUCACUUUCUUAGGGCAUCUGAUUCCUAACAGCCCUCUAAUGGAAUUCAUUAUGCAUAUGCAUUUCUCAAUAGGGAACAAAGGAAAAACAUCUAUUAUUACUAGGUAAAAAAACGCGGAUGACAAAGUGAACCAAAAGCAGGCUCGAGGUUUCUUGUCCUAAGCACCUGACCUGAGAUAGCUUCUAAAAAAUCCAUAAUCAGAAAGGGUCAAGGAAAAUUCAUAUGAGAUCAGAAUACAGUAGGGCAUUGAUCAAGCGAUUUAUUUAGAGGAGUAUUUUAUUACAUGCGUGUGUAGUACGGGUUGUUGUUUCACAAUAGUUUCCAUGGCCUCUAAGCAUCAUUAUUCAUGUGUGAACUUUCAAUAUUUGUGAUUUUGGUUCUGGUUGCAUAAGAAUUUAUCGAAUGCUUUUAGGAUCCCAGCAAAGAAGGAAGCUAAUAAUGAUGGACAUACCUAGCAUUUUCGGCCCCGGACAUAGGUCCAUUACUCUCUACGAGGGCAUAAAUCAUCAUCCAGAUCCAGAUUCCAUUUUCAGGAAUAAGACCGUCGCACAGCUGGGAUGUGGCAAUGGUUGGAUAUCCAUUGCGCUUGCAGAAAAAUGGUGCCCUUCCAAGGUUGGUGUCUCUUGUCCCGUCCGCUAUCUCAGGAUCCCAGCAAAGAAGGAAGCUAAUAAUGAUGGACAUACCUAGCAUUUUCGGCCCCGGAGAUAGGUCCAUCACUCUCUACGAGGGCAUAAAUCAUCAUCCAGAUCCAGAUUCCAUUUUCAGGAAUAAGAUCGUCGCACAGCUGGGAUGUGGCAAUGGUUGGAUAUCCAUUGCGCUUGCAGAAAAAUGGUGCCCUUCCAAGUUAAUUCAAGGAGGACCCUACAUCUAAAGAUCUUGGUUGCAAAAGUAUAUCAGGAAGAUCUUGGUUGCAAAAGUGAUCAGAUAUACUCCUCUGUACCAAAAUAUAAGACGUUUUUCUCAGUUCAAUUGAACUGCAAAAAUAUCUUAUACUUUCGUAUGGAGGGAGUAAUAGUCAACACAACCAGGCGGGGGCACAUGCCAUUUUUUCUCCUUCACCAUGGACCCUGAAUUUGCUGAACUCUGGGCGUGUCGAUGGGCUGCUCAGCUUACAUGUGAACUGGACGUGGCAAAGCUUAUCCUGGAGACGAACUCAAAGCUAUGAAAAUUCAUGUAUACUGAUUAUCGAGCAUUAUGAGCAAGGGACGGGGGUACAAGGCAUGGUCUGCGGCGCCGCACCUUGUUGUUCCCUGCCGGUGGCGGGCGAGCUGCAGUGGCGCUUCUCUGUUGCGUGGCGAGGGACGGGGGCGGAAGGUGUGCAUCUGCAGUGCCACUCCUAGGGCAUGCCUCUCCGGCGACAUUGCCGGCGUACACAACAUACCUUACUACACGGGGAUUUCAUCUCUGAACUAAAUAUUACGUCCGAAGACUGAAACAUCCAGAAGAUUUAUUGAGACUAUUCAUUGAUGGUCUUUCUCUACUACACGAGGAAGGCCUGAGGUAGACAAACAUAACAACUGAUGAAAGAAGAACAUAUUUGUACCUUGUUGCCCGCUGACUAUAUGCAUGGUUGAAUUGUAGUAUGUGUGAUACAUGAGAAUAAUGUAAUAUGAAGUGAAACAUGGUGGAUAGGGCUUCGUGAAUGAGCUGGCGGAGAAGAUGUCAGUGGUGGAAGCGGAGAUGUUAUAGAAGAUGUUGCGGGCGGUACCGGAGGAAAUGGCCAAAUGGGGUUCCUCGGAGCCGACAAGAAGGAUGCUGCAGCGGCACAUAUUGGUUUCCAUUUCCAUCCAGAGAAGAACUUAUGAACGAAGAGAUAUCCUAGAAGUUGAGUGCAGUUGGAGGGGCCUCAGUCCUUUUGAGCCAAGAAAAGUAGAUGGGGCAUGUCCAAGCUAUGAAUAGUAGAUGGGAAAGUGUUGAAAUAUUUUGUGUUUCCAUGGUUUGUAAAUGGUAGGAGGUAUAUGUAGUAACCUGUACGGUUUCAAGUGCCAAAUUUCAUGUGUAAAAGUUUGCUAGGGAAUUCUGAUUGUAGAAUCUUGGAAUAAGGGAACAAAAUCCUACAUGUGUCAUAUAUUUAAUUAAUGGAUAAUAAUAACAGACAUGCUUUCAUGA